UUUUUUGUGUUUGUACCAGUCCUGUGACUUGAACCUUAGGGCCUGAGCUUUUUUUGUUCAAGGCUAG